CUAUACGGUAUGUGUUUUUCUCAUUGUUGAAGGCCGUACGUAUGCCUAUAAUUGCUUUCAUCCUUUUCAUUUAAAUUUUGGUGGAUAGUUGUCUCAUUGUCAAUCAUACCACAUCUCCUUAUUCUUAUAAAGAAUGAUUUCAGAUUAGUUUUUUUAUAAUAUAAGAACCGAGGCAUCGAUUUCUGUAUGGAUGAUACAUGUACCCUAAUAAGACCGAAAUAAUAUGGACGUGGGUAACAACCGUAAUAAUUGAAGAAUACUUCCAGUCAACUGUAAAAUAUAUAAUCAUGUGUUGGUAUAAUGAUUGUGUAUUGUGUUGUAUUGUUCAGAUGUACCUUAUUUUUCCUCAUUGAGUGGCGAGGGAUUGAGAAUCAUUUGAAAAACCUGACUGAAACAGUGUGAGACUAUCGCAUCAGACUAAAAAAAUAUGCAACACAUAAACGAUAUCAAUCUAUUAUCUACAUUUGAUUUAAGUAUGUACACAUCUGUAUCGUUUAUAUUCAAUAUUUUGAUUUUAUUUUUAUUGAUAACUGAUUUCGUUUUUAUCUAUUUCAUCUUUAUUAAAACAUGUAUUUAAAAAUUUGGAAAUAGAAGUUUAAGCUUUUCGGCAAAUGUUGAAAAAAUGCAAUAAAAAAGGAAAUGGAAUAAAAUGAAACUAGAUAAGUACAAUUUCCGGUAUAAUUUGCUCCACAAAUUGAGGUUUGACAACUAAUGAAAAGUUUUAUUUCCGCUAUUUACACAUUUUCAAGUAUGUUAAAAUGUCAAUAACCUAGUUGCAGUUUUGGUUCAACAUUAAAAAUCCUUACAACGAUUACUGCAAAAUAUAACGAAUAAUAAACAUAAAUUCGGGAAUCCGUUUUAUUUGAAUAAAAAAUAUAACUCCCUGUGUGUCUUCAACUUUUUGGAUGUUUUGUUUUUAUCAUUAUCAAAUUAAAAAGAACAAUAUAUGUUUUAGGUGAAAUAUGAAGUUAUGUUCAUAACAUAAAUCUUGUAUUCUAACGAACAUAUGUAGGAUUUAAUAAUGUCCCCCAUGAAAUAAUGUCCACCGGACAUUAUUUCAUAGUAAAUACUGUCCAUGGACAAUAUUUACUUAUUUAAAUGUGUCCCGGACACAAUUUCCUAUGAAAAUAUGUCCUCAGGUAUGAAAAAGUGUCCAUGAACAUGGACAUUAUUUAAUACUAUAAUUCUGUCCAGGUGGACAUUUUUUCACAGGACAUUAUGUCCGCCAGGACAUUUUUUGAUAUGAUUAAAGUAUUAAAUGAUAUCCAUUGCCUUGUUAUUACUGGACGUAUUUUAACCUAUAAUUGCGAACUUUCAUACAUUGUUACUUUGACAGAGAGUUGUCUCAAUGGAACUCAUACCAUCCUUAUCUUCUUAUUUAUAUUUUUUAAUAUAUAUACAUGUAUAAUGAUUUAAAUUCAAACAAAUAGCAGAUGUUGUUCAGUAUUAUUUUCCUUGGAGGACACAAUUCAAUAACAAUUACUACGAAAAAUUGUCCUGUAGGUGGACCAUAUUUCAUAAAAGAGGGACGAAAGAUACCAGAGGGACAGUCAAACUCAUAGAUCGAAAACAAACUGACAACGCCAUGGCCAAAAAUAAAAAGACAAAUAGACAAAUAAUAGUACAGAUGACACAACAUAGAAAACUAAAGAGUAAGCAACACGAACCAAACCAAAAACUGGGGGUGAUCUCAGGUGCUCCGGAAGGGUAAGCAUAACUGUUGCUGUAAAAUGCUGUCCACUUAGAGGACAAUAUUUCAUGGCAAUUGACAAAAUUUAAUACCAAAAUUCUUUUCUUCUUUUGCCUUCUUCUCAUAAUAAAUAUAGUAAAGUUCUUCACAUUGAUUUUAUACUUUACACACUUCCUUCUUAUUGUUCUUCUUUCAUUGUCAUUUAUAGCAUUAGCUGGGUAUUUCUUAGAACUUAAAUGUCUCUAUAUUCACUUCCAUCCAUUAUUUGUUUGUUUACAUUUGUAUAUUAAUCAAUUUCUAAUCAAUCGUUCAGUUUUUAUUCAAAUUCAAGUAUAAUAAAACUUUUUAAUGACCUUUGUAUUACUUCCCUUGGAGGACAUAAUUUAAUAGCAACUACUAUGAAAACUUGUCCUGUGGAUUGACACUAUUUCAUAACUUUUGCAGUAAAAAUCUGUCCACUUGAGGGACAAUAUUUCAUGGCGAUGGACAUUAUUUAAUACCAAAAUUCUAUCAAAAACUGUCCAGGUGGACACUUUUUCACAGGACACUAUUAUGUCUUACACAUACACAAAUGAGUUCAACUCUAAACUGCUCUUAUUUCUUUAAUGCAUUCGUAUCUGAACAAUUAACACUUUUUUAAUUGCAACUGAAGUGCCUCGGGGGUCUCGCGGUAGCGUGGUUACCUCGAGUGCGGGAGAUCGUGGUGUUCGAUCCCGACCGGAUCAAACAAAGAAUUGAACAUUGGUAUUUGCUGCUUGUCCACAAAUUACGCGGCAUUUAGGAAUAAGAGCAAAUAUGGGUCGGCUCCGAACUAGAACAGUUUCUCCAGGAAGGGUGACAUGUCUUCCUGUGGUUGGUUACCUUGUGGCCUCUAGCUCUAGGUUCUGCAAUCUCAACCUUCCCCUUUUAAUCUAGAUAAGUGGACUGACAAAAUGUAGAUAAAAGAAAAUACAAUAAAAAUCAAUACAUGAAAUGCACUGUGUUCUAUAAAAUGGUACAAUAGCCUACUGAUAAGAAAGCAUGCAAUCAUAUACUCUGAUACGGGUUGCUGUACCUCAUAGUAGAUUUCAUACACCAACAUCACAUUAUAUUGAUAGACUAUCUUGUGCAUUUUUGUACAUUAUAACAAAAGUUAAUGCUCUUAACAAUGUAGGGAGGUAAAGAGAAGUGCAUUUAACAAACACAUAAGCAUUUGAAGGACAUUUGAAAAUUGGCGUUCAUUUUAGUAGGUAUUUUAUUCCCAAAUAAUGAUCCAUCUCAUUCAAAGUCUUAUGGAAAAUCCAGAAAGGCUGGUAUACGUUUGGUGGGCAGAUUGGUAGCGAUGAGGGGAGGAUGUACAAAUUUGCCUCCCCCUUAAUACGCCAGUAGACUUACUAGAUAUAAAAAAACGAUGUUAGGGUGUUGGGUUGCUGUCUCUUUGACGUACACCUUUAAUCAUAAAAUAUAGAAUGUCCGUGUAGUAUUAACAAGUACAUAUUCAUUCAUAAAUUAAAAGAUCAAUAAUCGGGGAUAUUCCCACGCUAUAUAAAGUACUAGGUGAAAUCCGUUAUAUACUUAUAAACCGUGACCUUAUAAUUAUGACAAAUAUGGAUUGUGAAAACUUUCAUUUUCAUUAACUGAUUACUGUGAUUGGAGUACCAAAAUCAGGGAGAAUUCCAGACAUUGGACAUAAAAGCUGAAGUGGUAAGUGUAAUAUUUCAUUCAAGAAAAAGUAACAACACAAAAAUGAGAGGUAAAAUCAAUGUUGUGGUUAAAAAUGUGCCCCUUGGAACAGGUGGCACGUGCAUGUAACAAGCUAAAAUGAUCUUGUCGGAACACUUUCAUUAAUUGUGAUCCCGUUUUCCAAGAUGAGAACACUUUUAUAAACACUCCAGUACUUUAUAAUGCUAUUUAUGAGAAUAUAUGUAAAUAUAUCUGCUUUUUUAAGAUAUAAUAAAAAUGCUUAAUAUGAAACCUAAACAUGAGCCAUUUAUUUAUAUAUGUAUUCAAACGGCAAAAUUAAUAUGUAUGAUACUUUCUCCAUUUUCAGUCCUAAUCGUGACGAUCGUGUCAUCUCUGAUAACAUGUCUGUAUGGAACACCAGUAAAACUAUACUGUAAUCCUUGUCGGAAUGGUCAAUACACACCACUUACACCAAGGAUAGACUAUGGUGUGACCAAAGAUAUACUAUCUAACGAAGUAGUUAACUUUUACCAAGUUCUGAAUACAGCAUACAUAAAAGAGUCAGCAGCUUUGACACAAUCAACGUCGAUGAAUGAUUUACGGGAUCUAACACCACCAUGCCCAAUGCCAACUAGACACUCAGUGAGAUCUUGGAUUAUAUGUGUAUACGACAAAAUAUCUGAAACUCUUAAAAAUGUGACUGACAACUCAAUAUAUAGUUCAACUUUGAAUACCAAUGAUAUUGUGAGAGCGGCUAGGAAAGUACUGUGCCAUUUUAAACUCGUAAUGAUACAGAUAACAGGCAGUCGUGACAGUCAUCUCCAAACAGAAUUAUCAGACAAUUCAUGUUCACCGAUUCCUCAACUGAGGAUGGUGACACCUGGUCCAAGAUUAUUUGAUAAAACCUUAGAAUCUUUACGAGUCGCCAGAAAUAUUUUAUAUAAAACAAACGAAACACUAGUUAUGAAUGUAUUAGAUUUAUUUAUGAGCUUGGUAAAUAGCAGUGCUUUGAAUGUGUUCAUAGAUGAAUUUAAGACGAUUUUCACAGUAACGGUGACGCACUUUGUAUUUCUUCCAUCUGUGUUUUUUUUCUUCUCUAAAUGUAAUAUAUUACAGGAAGGGAUAUUUCUGUUGUUUUUUUUUUUUUGUAAAACUUGUUAAAUUUACUUGUUUAAAAUGAAUCAAUUGACCUUAAAAUAAAUACUUUCAUCUUUUGGGGAAUUAUUGAAGAUAUUAUAUGCAAUGGUCUAUAGAAUUAGUGCUUUCAUGAUAUAGCUUUGGGUCACAGAUAUAGACUCUCUUUUCAUGGGACUUUCUUACUGUAAGUAACGUCAAAAUAUGAAACCUUUUCAAUGUAUUUGGCUUAAAUAAAAACCGAUACUUAAAAACAAUGAAACAAGAAAUAUCCCAUUCUAUGAUACCAUAAAUUUUCGCAUUUGCUAUUAGAUAUACACUUGUAGUUUUUUAUACAUAUGUAGUAAUUAUAACAUGCUUACACAUAUAAUCUUUUCUUGUGUGGUUUUAAUCUUAUAUAUAAAUAUGUAUUUGUACUAACUUAUUUUAAAAUCAUUUGGUUGUGGCUUAUAUGAAAAUGCAAACCGUGAUCGAUUAUUCUUAUAUUUUUUUUUAAAUCUUUAAUUGAUUUUAGAUAUUGAAAUACUUUCCUUUCAUAUACUUUUUUUUAUCUACUGUUUAUACUGUUAUGAUUCAUAUAAUAACCAACAGGUUAUAAGUUAAAUUUUAAUUUAUUCAUGACUCAUAAUAUCAAGAGGUCAUCUGUUUAAAAUUUGUUUAAAUCAUAUUUUUCCUUUUAUAAUGAUUUAUUUUUAAUAAAAGUGCGUACAAGGCACAAGACUUAGUGAAAAUGUAACAUACAUAAUUUCCCUGUUUGAAAAUAUUUUUUUGUAACAUGCAAGAUUUUUUUUUAAAGUUUCAGAUUUCUAAUACUGUAGCUGGAAGACAAAGAAAUAUGGCGAUUGACUUACAUUCCAGAAUAAUAAAGUUGUGAUUUUUAUACAAUGAUAUAUCAAUUGCAUUUGUGAUAUGUACAUAUAGUAGUAUUGCAUUUAUUUUGUGUUCUUGACAUGCAUUUAUGAUGUUUUUUUGAUCUCUUAUUUAUUUACAACAGAUAUUGUUUAUUAUUUCUAAUAUUUAUCUUUAUUGAUAUUAUUAAAACAAAAAUUCCACAGAAGCGGAUCCAUUGUUUGCUGUCUAACAUUAAAUUGUACUUUGAUUUGAUAAAACUACAUAGAUUUAUGAAUCAACUUUCAAACGAUGGUGUGAACCUAAACAUAACUUUAUUACAUCUAUAUAUGGAAUACUAAUGAGAGCAAAUUCAUGAUUCCGCUUUUGGGGGAUUAUAUUAUGUGUAUCUUUCAUUAUCAUGUGAUAAUGAUUUGACUAUAUAUUGUAUUGGUCAAGACCUAUCCUGUAGGAAUACCGUGUAAGCUCUAAGAGCUGUAUCCGUUCAUUACAUAUCAGGAAAACAUGUUUUUGUUUAUAAUAGUUUUCUUGGAAAUUUUUAUUUAUAUGUUUUACAUGAUAUUGAAUAAAUUUAUUGUUUA